AACAGGAUUAGAUACCCUGGUAGUCCACGCCCUAAACGAUGUCUACUAGUUGUCGGGUCUUAAUUGACUUGGUAACGCAGCUAACGCGUGAAGUAGACCGCCUGGGGAGUACGGUCGCAAGAUUAAAACUCAAAGGAAUUGACGGGGACCCGCACAAGCGGUGGAUGAUGUGGAUUAAUUCGAUGCAACGCGAAAAACCUUACCUACCCUUGACAUGUCAGGAAUCCUGGAGAGAUCUGGGGGUGCCCGAAAGGGAGCCUGAACACAGGUGCUGCAUGGCUGUCGUCAGCUCGUGUCGUGAGAUGUUGGGUUAAGUCCCGCAACGAGCGCAACCCUUGUCAUUAGUUGCUACGAAAGGGCACUCUAAUGAGACUGCCGGUGACAAACCGGAGGAAGGUGGGGAUGACGUCAAGUCCUCAUGGCCCUUAUGGGUAGGGCUUCACACGUCAUACAAUGGUACAUACAGAGGGCUGCCAACCCGCGAGGGGGAGCUAAUCCCAGAAAGUGUAUCGUAGUCCGGAUUGUAGUCUGCAACUCGACUACAUGAAGUUGGAAUCGCUAGUAAUCGCGGAUCAGCAUGUCGCGGUGAAUACGUUCCCGGGUCUUGUACACACCGCCCGUCACACCAUGGGAGCGGGUUUUACCAGAAGUAGGUAGCCUAACCGCAAGGGGGGCGCUUACCACGGUAGGAUUCGUGACUGGGGUGAAGUCGUAACAAGGUAACC
rnacentral:rRNA from 1 species